GAGCCCGAGCAGGAAGGAUUAGCAAGAGGGGUUGUGAAGGUUUUCGACGUGGGCGAUCCGCGGGGGGCCGGAUCGUCGCUGAAGAAGGGCACUUUUGACGUGAAUAUUGCGUGGGAGCUGUUGCGCCAGGAUGUGCUGUAUCUGGAUUGGAAUGCCCGGCAAAACGUAAACGCAAUCGUCAAUGGUCACGAUAAGGUCGUUGAAGUGCUGAACCCUCUCUUGUGAGAGACAUCAAGUCUGUGGAAACUCUUCGCUGGACUGCAGGAGGAGGAACUUUCCCAAAGCUCAUGCCCAGGUGCGAGUCAGCAUUCUAGAUCUGCUGCUGUGUAUUAGUAUCAUUGAUACACAUUUUACACCUCAAUCUAAAAGCGUUAUCGUUACACUUGAUACGAAGUAGACAAGAUAUGGCAACGGGGACCUAGCAUUACAUUCCAGCCAUGGAACCCUCUCCAUUGUGAAGUCGAAGUUGUUUAUCAAGGAUAUCCUGGAAUGCAAGGGUCCUUCAAGCAUACCCUAGUCUGUUGAUUAGUGGUCAAAGUAACCAACCGUCCUUCGUUAUAUGUAAAAAACCAAAAAAAAUACAUGGAAUAUUUAUACUAGUGUUUACAAAUCAUCUAAAACCAA